UGAGUAGCGACGAGAAUCGAGUCCUGAAUCUCGUUUCGUCAGGUUGCUGGAUGUGCGCGUGGUAUGAAGAGUCUUGGGGCCAAUCUCUGAGGAAAAGCAAGGUUGGGAGGUACUCAUCCUUGAACUGAGCUAACCUUGAGCAAAAUGGAAGAUGUGGUCACAUUCCAGAGUGGAAGCUCACUCUGUCAGCCUAUAGGAGAAAAAUAGUUUAAACCUCUUUUUGUCAAGACGUGGGAACUUGGAGUAGUAUUUUAAGGCUACUCAAAAACCACUAAAACUUGUGUGGGAGUCUGUUACAGUUAAGCGUGUUGACAAUUUCCUAUUUCCCGCCAAAGCAGUUCACCCUUAUGUUCAUGGUAGUUUUGCCAUUGAAAGGCAUACUUCUGCUUCACGAAAAUACGGCGACCUUAUUGUGGUUGUUACCUCAGAAAAUAAGUCUUCAGGUUCCCCAAAGUACAAUUGCCCACUGACUGACAAGGGAAAAUUGAGUAAGAACAGUGAAGCUAUACUAUCAAAACCAGUGCAAUGGAGCAGCAACCACUUGUUUGUUAUGUGAAGAAUUUGGCAUAUGACUUGGACAGAGUUGUAACAUCACAAGUCUGAUCAAAAAGUUUGAGUCAAACAUUUUUGUGCAUAAUGCCAAAAGAUCAGGAAGACAAGUUUUAGUGAAGACAGAAGAAAAGGCUACCAAAUUACAGGCAUUACUGCUACAAAGACCUCAAAAAUCCAGUAAGCAUCUGUCAGGGGAACUCAGUAUUAGUGACAGACGUGUUUGAAGGUUGCUGGACAAAAUGAAGCCAUGCAUACUGCACUUGCUACACUCCUUACAUGAUGGAGAUUCGGUAGAAUUUUGUGAAAGAUUUUUGGUCAAAUUAUGUAAGGAUGAGAACUUGCCAAGGGAAUUUUCAACUAUCGGAAAAUUGAAAAAUUGCUGUAGAUAUUGAAUAUGUUGGUUGGGAUAUUAAUCUGGCUUCCGGUCAAGAUGGAGGAAUAGUCAAAACAGCUUAUCUUCUUGCACAACCACAUCAAAAUUACAACUAAACUAUAGAACUACCAUCACUCAGAACUGUCAGAAUUCAAGGUGAAUGAAAUUCCAACUAUGGAACUAAAGAAACCACAUCCAUCCAGAACUUGAUAUAAUGGACUCUUGGUCAAGAUGGAAGCACAGGCAAACACGACUCAUGUUCUCACACAACCACAUCAAAAUUACAACUAAAUGUUACAACAAUCAUCACUCAGAGAUGUCAGAAAUUGAGUUGAAUGCAAGUCUGACAACUGCAGAACUUCAGAACAACUACAACCCAGACUGGUAGGAGAUGGGGAGAGGUGGACAAUGGAAUGAGCUGGUCCCACACCCAUACCAGGACCUCAGCCCAGGAUUCCAGUUCCAGGAAGAUUAAGUCCACAUAACUUCUGGCUGUAAAAACCAGCAGGGUUUGAGUCAGUGAAAGGAACUAAUGGAAUCCCAAGCAUUUCCUCUUAAGGGCCUGCACAUGAGCUUACUCAGACUCACUCCCACUGAGCUCCAGUACUAAGGUAGUAGCUUCAAAGGCAUCAGUGGCAUAUGGAAAGCCUGUGCCAAUGGACCCUACAGGACACCUACUACAUUAGGCCACACUACCAAGACAGGAAGGUAUAGCAGCUAUACCUAAUGCAUACAAGCCAACAUAAGGAGGCCACCAAAACAAGGAGACAAGCAUGGCCCAAAUGAAAGAA